rnacentral:rRNA from 1 species
UUUUAACGGCCGCGGUAGCCUAACCGUGCAAAGGUAGCAUAAUCACUUGUUCCUUAAUUAGGGACUUGUAUGAAUGGUUAGAUGAGGGCAAAACUGUCUCCUACAGUUAAUCAAUGAACUUGAUCAUACAGUACAAACGCUGUAAUUUAUCUAUAAGACGAGAAGACCCCGUGGAGCUUCAAACUUCUGCAUUAAAUUUAAAUUAUAGUAUAAUGUAGGAUUUUAAGUUGGGGCGACUAUGGAGUAAAAAAAAACCUCCAUGAAACACGACUAACACUCGUCAUAAAAAGGCUGACAAGCCUAAUCUAAACGUUUGACCCAAUCAUAUUGAAUACCGAACCAAGUUACCCCAGGGAUAACAGCGCCAUCCCCUUAAAGAGUUCACAUCGCCAAGGGGGUUUACGACCUCGAUGUUGGAUCAAGACUUCCCGGUGGUGUAGCCGCUACCAAAGGUUCGUUUGUUCAACGAAUAAAGUCUUACGUGAU